AUGCUCACUUCAGCAGCACAUAUCCUAAAAUUGGAACAAAACAGAGAAGAUUAGCAUGGCCCCUGCACAACGAUGACACAAAGUGGAGAUGCAAAGUGGGGGAUUUUU
ensembl:snRNA U6 U6 spliceosomal RNA